GCCUGGCUGGCUCAGUUGGUAGAGCAUGUGACACUUGAUCUUGGGGUUGUGAGUUCAAGCCCCAUGUUGGGUG
rnacentral:tRNA from 1 species